rnacentral:rRNA from 1 species
UCCUACGGGAGGCAGCAGUGGGGAAUAUUGGACAAUGGGGGCAACCCUGAUCCAGCCAUGCCGCGUGUGUGAAGAAGGCCCUCGGGUUGUAAAGCACUUUCAGCGAAGAAGAACGCCUAGCGGUUAAUACCCGCUAGGAAAGACAUCACUCGCAGAAGAAGCACCGGCUAACUCCGUGCCAGCAGCCGCGGUAAUACGGAGGGUGCAAGCGUUAAUCGGAAUUACUGGGCGUAAAGCGCGCGUAGGUGGCUUGAUAAGCCAGUUGUGAAAGCCCCGGGCUCAACCUGGGAACGGCAUCCGGAACUGUCAAGCUAGAGUGCAGGAGAGGAAGGUAGAAUUCCCGGUGUAGCGGUGAAAUGCGUAGAGAUCGGGAGGAAUACCAGUGGCGAAGGCGGCCUUCUGGACUGACACUGACACUGAGGUGCGAAAGCGUGGGUAGCAAACAGGAUUAGAUACCCUGGUAGUCCACGCCGUAAACGAUGUCGACCAGCCGUUGGGUGCCUAGCGCACUUUGUGGCGAAGUUAACGCGAUAAGUCGACCGCCUGGGGAGUACGGCCGCAAGGUUAAAACUCAAAUGAAUUGACGG